rnacentral:rRNA from 1 species
GCAGUCGAACGGCAGCACAGGAGAGCUUGCUCUCUGGGUGGCGAGUGGCGGACGGGUGAGGAAUACAUCGGAAUCUACCUUUUCGUGGGGGAUAACGUAGGGAAACUUACGCUAAUACCGCAUACGACCUUCGGGUGAAAGCAGGGGACCUUCCGGCCUUGCGCGGAUAGAUGAGCCGAUGUCGGAUUAGCUAGUUGGCGGGGUAAAGGCCCACCAAGGCGACGAUCCGUAGCUGGUCUGAGAGGAUGAUCAGCCACACUGGAACUGAGACACGGUCCACACUCCUACGGGAGGCAGCAGUGGGGAAUAUUGGACAAUGGGCGCAAGCCUGAUCCAGCCAUACCGCGUGGGUGAAGAAGGCCUUCGGGUUGUAAAGCCCUUUUGUUGGGAAAGAAAAGCAAUCGAUUAAUACUCGGUUGUUCUGACGGUACCCAAAGAAUAAGCACCGGCUAACUUCGUGCCAGCAGCCGCGGUAAUACGAAGGGUGCAAGCGUUACUCGGAAUUACUGGGCGUAAAGCGUGCGUAGGUGGUUGUUUAAGUCUGUUGUGAAAGCCCUGGGCUCAGCCUGGGAAUUGCAGUGGAUACUGGGCGACUAGAGUGUGGUAGAGGGUAGUGGAAUUCCCGGUGUAGCAGUGAAAUGCGUAGAGAUCGGGAGGAACAUCCAUGGCGAAGGCAGCUACCUGGACCAACACUGACACUGAGGCACGAAAGCGUGGGGAGCAAACAGGAUUACAUACCCUGGUAGUCCACGCCCUAGACGAUGCGAACUGGAUGUUGGGUGCAAUUUGGCACGCAGUAUCGAAGCUAACGCGUUAACUUCGCCGCCUGGGGAGUACGGUCGCAAGACUGAAACUCUAUGGAAUU